AGUGGCCUGUGGCUCGUGGGGCCCCGUGUAGGUGGGUGGAGCACCUCUCUCCCACACUCUAGCUGGGGUACCAGGGCCCUCACCUGCUCCCUGAACCCCUGCCACCAUGCUACAUGUUCCAAACAGAGCCUCCUGCCUGUCCUUUCUUUAGCCUUUUGAACUUCUGAAAGCAAAUCCUGGCCUUCAGUGGUCUCCGGGGCUCCAAGGACAUGCAGGAGGCUGUGAUCUGCUCCUCUCUGGGCUGCUACACCUCUUAGAGCUCGUUCUCUCUCCCAGGAGAAGUGAGCCCUACAGUGUCUUCAGACCUCCUGUCCCCUGGGAACGCCUUGACAGUGACAGCUUCCUGCGCCUCCUGCCCGUUGCCAUGGGGACAACCCUGAUAGACGUAUCAGCUUCAGUUCGGCGUACAUGUGUUGAGCACCUGCUCUGUCCAGCC
rnacentral:lncRNA from 1 species